UCUUCCGCGCCGGCCGGGCUGAGUGCGCAAGGGUCGGCCUCGGGUCUUCCCGGCGCGGCGGAGGGGAAUGUGGCAGCGCUGUGGUCCGCCAACUAGGCGUGACGGCGUGUGCGGGGCGAGAAUGCUUUUUUGGGACGAGGGCCCGUGGUGCCAGUGAGGUCCCCACAGGAGUGCGGUCCGGGACCCCGAAACGCUUGCGAACCGAUGGUCGGGCUGAGACCCGUGACCCCCGCGAGGGCUGGAGCAGCCGACCGUGAACCGGAAGGGGCGGGGCUGGGGCGGCCGUGGGCACCAGCUCCGGAGCGACAGUGACUUGCCGCUGCUUCCCCCGGGACUCUCAGGACCAUCGCCACUUGAAGCCAAGGGGAAGAGGGAGGAUGUCCUCUGUGGGGGCCAGGCUUUGCAUAGAGUGACUCGGGAGUGGUGGCGGUCUGGGAAAGGUCACCACCCUUUGAUCCAGUCCUGGGGCAGGCACUUAACCUGGUCAGUGCCCUCCCCCGCCAGUUUGCAGGUUAGAAAACUGAGUCUCUAUUUGGUUAAACUAUCAAGGCCAAAAUUAUCCUGCCAGUGGUGAAAGAAGUUGGGAUUUGGAUGCAAGUCUGGUUUCAAAGACUGAUCUUUUCCUCUUCACAAUGGAACUCGAGAGAGAAAAGAUUUGGGACCAGGAGCGUAGUCUGCCCUUUUCCUCUUAAGCAAUACUCCCAAGGUCUUAUCAGCUCAAACUUUCAUUCCUGCUUUCAUUUCUUCAACAGCUGUAGAGCACCUAUGACGUGAGCGCUGGGGCAGCAGGGGUCAUGGAGCUUCCAUUCCAGCAAGGCGGGAGAGCAUUCCCAGUGCUGAGACAGAGUAGAAAGAACAUGCGGUAUAGAGCAUGGCUGGGUAAUGAAGCCCACUUCAGUGGGUAGACAGGAGGGAGGGGACAGUUGAGUUGUCACUUGAUGAUAGGGAUGCAGCCCUGAGAGGACAGGACAGAGAGUUUCAGGCAGAGGAAGACCUUGGAGUCACGUGAGUCAGCUUCACCCAUCUGGGCCAGUCCUUCCGGGGAGGGGACGCUGUGGAGGUAGUUGGUGCUCCAGGCUGAGGUCUGGCUCCAUACUGUGAACCCAUCUCAGCUCCAGACAGGGAGCACCUGGCCUGGCCUUUGGGGACUUUGGAGCUCCUCCCCUCACCUGUCUUCAGUGAAAUGGAAAUCAGGUGCAGGCAGCCCAACUUCUCAUCUGACUUCUCUUUAAAUAAGCGGAGAGCCUUUUCGACACAGUCGAUGCGCACACGUCAUGGUGACAGGUACAUCUUGUGGGUUCAUAACUGCCUUACUGCGGAAACCAGCAGGAGAUGGACCAGGUUGUUUGCUGUUUCUGGCUACUUGAGCUUGUGUUAUUUUGAACCAGGUCUAAAUCCUUCUUUGCCUGCUCUGUGAUGAUGGAGGUGGGCUGUGGAAAUAUUUCACCUGCAACAUUUGGUAUGAUGUAAUGCCAGUAGAGGAGGCUGGAAGGACAGUGAAAAAGGAAGGAAUUUCCUCUUCCUGUUUCCCGAGUCCUGCAGGGUGCAGGGUCUCCUGCACUGGGCUCCUACAGGGUGCAGCUUUCUCCGUUGCCUGGCUCCUGCAGAGGGCAGCUUCCCCAGCUCCCAGUUCUGGUAGCUCAGGGCAACUAGCAGAGCCCAGCUGCUAGAAGCUUCCCUCAGAACUUUCUCAAAGUGAUGUGCUACUGGCAAGGCACCUGACUGUGAACGACUUCUUUGAGCAUCCCUCAGUUGCCUUAGCAGCAACUUCCAAGGUCAUUUAAACAGAUUUUUAAAAAUUCCCUUUAACAAUAAAGAGGAAACCAAGGAUGCAGAUUAUGGCAAGAACAUAGUCAAGAUGAGGAAAUUGAGGCCCAGAGAGGUGAAGCGACAGGACGCCAGGAGCAUGCAGCUAGUCGUGGCCGGCCUGGCACUGGAAUCCAGGGGUUCCGCCGGGUGCCCCGCAGCUGCCCAGCCCGGGAACUAGACAACUCCUCUCCCUGCCCUCCCCACUCCACCCCGGAAGGCACCCUGGGAACGGAAAGCUGGCUGCCCUCCAAGUCCCAGGAGCCCCGGAGUCCUGGAGCCCUGCCCUCGCUCCACCCUCCCCCAUCCCCAGAACAAAGUACACUCGGCCGCGGGAACAUUCCAGCCCCCAGAAGUCCAGGCGGGGCGGCGGCCGGGCUCCCGGAGCUGCGCCGGGUGUCUGCGGCCCCGGCCCAGCCCCGCGGUGCCCCUGCCCGGCGCCCUCCCGGCUUCUGCGCCAGCCGAGUGUGCAGACGCAAUUGCACCGGAGGAAUUCUGCCUUCUCUUCCCUCACCGCCGGGACACAAAACUGAAAAGGCGUGGGACGCGGUGGGCGGAGCUGAUGAGGAGCAGGGCGCUGGUCCCCGCGGGCGCCGAGCGGGAGCCGAGUUCUCGGCGGCGCCAGCGCUGGGCAGAGCUGGCUCCUGGGCGCACUGGGCCCCCUUGCCUCACUUUACUUCUUUAUAAGAAAUUAACGCAUGCUUUUGUUAAAAAAAAAAAAGAAAAAGAAAAGGACGAGUAGAACUAGGAGAAAGCUCUCCAUUCAUCCUACCACUCUGAGACAACUGCGAUUAAUUUUGGUUGUGUCCUUGCAGACAGUUCUAUGCACAAAAACACAAGUCGUAUAUUGACAUGAAAGGGAUCGUGCUCUUAUAGUUUGUUUUUAAAGUAACAGACUUUAGGUUUGAGAGCAGUUUUAGGUUUACAACAAAUUGAGGACAGAGUGCAGGGUCCCUCUAUCCCCUUGUUCCCACCCUCACAGUUUUCCACUAUUAGUAACAUCUUGCGUUGGGGUGGUACUUUUGUUACAAUUGAUGGACCAACAUUGAUACACUAUUAUUAACUAAAGCCCCGUAGCUUAAUUAAGGUUCACUCUUUGUGCUGUAAAGUUCAAAGUUUUGAUAAAUGCAUAACGCGUCAUGUGUCCACCACUACAGUAGCAUACAGAAUAGUUUUACUACCCUAAAAAUCCCCUGUGCUCUACCAAUUCAUCCCUCCCCCUGAGACCCCUUGCGGCCACUGAUCUUUUUACGGUUUCUCUAGUUUUGAAUUUUCCAGAACGCCUUAUGGUUGGAGUCACACAGUAAGUAGCCUUUCCAGGCUGGCUUCUUUCACUCAACAAUAUUCUUUUACGCUUCCUCCAUGUCUUUUCGUAGAUUAAUAGCUCAUUUCUUUUUAUCGCUGAAUAAUACUCCAUUGUAUGACCGUACCACUGUUUGUUUAUCCAUUCACCUCUGGAAGGACAUCUUGGUUGCCUCCAGUUUUUGGCAGUUAUAAAUAGGCUCCUGUAAAUAUUCAUGUGCAGGUUUAUUGUACUGUUUUCUAGCUUGCUUUUCUAAGUUAUGUUAUGAAUGGCUUUUGAUAUUAUAAAUAUAGAUGUCUGUCAUCAUUUUAAUGGCUACAUACAAUUCUAGCACAGUUUAUUUAACCAGCUCCUUUGUUAAACAUCUAGAUUGUUGUCUCUAGUCUCAUAAAUCUGUUCUAACUAGUUGGUCUACACCAUAUCUUGUGGUUAAGGCUUGGCUGACUGAGUCCUGUGUUCAAAUCCUAGAUACCCCACUUACUGAGUGAACCUGGGCCAAGUUUUUAAUUCCCUAGGACUUGGUGAAAUCUGUGAAAUGGAAAUAGUAGUUGUACUUAUGGUGAGGAUUAAAUGAGCUGAUACAUGCAAAGUAUUUAGAAUAGUUUAGAACCCGGUACAUAUAAACUCAUAAUAAAAUUCAGCUCUUAUAAUUUAUUAUCUGUUGCGCACCUACCAUGUGUCCUGAGCUAGCCAUUGUGGAAGUUUUCAAAGACUAAAUCAUAUGUGUGAUCUUACCUUCAAGGAACUUUGAAUCAGCUCCUGAUGGGGGAUAAUGCAAAGCAGAGCAAUACUGAUUCCUUAUGUUGUUUUCUCUGUGCCAGGUACUGUUCUGGGGCUGGGAGAAAGCAGGGCUGGCAUUUGAACAGAGGUCUGGUCUAACUACCACACUACUCUGCCUCUCUGUACCUGUAGUUCCAAUACAAAAUACGAAGCAAGAUGUGUCCUAAGAAAGUGGAGAUGAAGAAGUGUGAGAAUUCAAGGGACCCAGUGAUGACUUCCACCUGGGCAUACCAGGGAAGGCUUUAUGUUAAAAUCCAUUCGCUUAACACCAGAAGAGCUUAUCUGUACCAGGCACAGCCCCAAGCACAGGAUGAAUAAAGAGGCAAAUAAGGGACUUCCCUUGUGGUCCAGCGGUUAAGACUCCAUGCUCCCAGUGCAGGGGGCCCGGGUUUGAUCCCUGGUCAGGGAACUAGAUCCCUCAUGCUACAACUAAAGAUCCCUCAUGCUGCAGCUAAGACCCGGCACAGCCAAAUAAAAAAUAAAAAACAGGCAAAUAAAACCAGUGGGGAGUUCUGGUGGGAGAGAUCAAAUGACAGGUUGUGAUACAAACCACAAAGGAAAUACAGGCUGCCAUGUUGGAUACAGGAGGGCGUAGUGGAGGCUACGCCUUAAGGUGGUCGGGGAAGGCACCUGGAAGGAGGUGACUUUGAAACACUGAAAACUGUGGGGUGAGGAACCAGCCACAUGAGGAGUUGUGUGGGAUAUUAUAGCAGCAAGAACGAGCAAAGGUGUGGAGGUAGAAGGGGGUUUUGGGUGUGGUCUGAUUCUGUCAGAAGCCAGCGUGGGAGGAGCUCAGGGAGCAAGGGGAAAAUGACUAAAGAUGAAGUUGCAGAGUAGAAAUGGACCGGUUUCUAAGAGCUUUCCAACUUAAAAGAACUCCUGAGAGUGGCUGGGCAGCCUGGGACAAGAGCACCUACUCUGUGUGUACCUCCAUAAUGGGCUCCAUAAUGGGCUGUUCAGGCGGUACUGUGUUCGACCUUUCCAACAACUUACUCUACAGGUGAGGAGACUUAGGCUUGAGUUUUAUUCCAGGUGCAACGGGAAGCCAUUGAAGGGUUUUAAGCAAGGAAGUAGCAUAGCUGAGUUGAUAUGGCAACAAGAUCCAGCUGGCUGCUCUGCGGGACGUGACGUGCAGGUUUGCAAGGAACAGAGGGACGAGUGAAGCGACUCUGCAGUCAGCCAGGUGAGAGAGAGAGAGAGAGAGAGCGAGAGAGAGCGAGAGAGAGAGAGAAUGGAGAUUUGGCUAGUGUGGACGAUGGAGAGCGAGCUGGAUCAAUUUGAGCCAUUUGAGAUUGAGAAGAGAUGUUGAUGAAUUGGACUGGUAAGGAGAGGAAGGAAGCUGGUAUGUGCUUAUUUAAUUUAUUUAUUUAGAUUUAUUUAUUUAUGGCUGUGUUGGGUCUUCGUUGCUGUGUGUGGGCUUUCUCUAGUUGUGGCGAGCUGGGGCUACUCUUCGUUGCAGUGCGCGGGCUUCUCAUUGCGGUGGCUUCUCUUGUUGCGGAGCACAGGCUCUAGGCACGCGGGCUUCAGUAGUUGUGGCAUACUGGCUUAGUUGCUCCGUGGCAUGUGGGAUCUUCCCGGACCAGGGCUCGAACCCGUAUCCCCUGCAUUGGCAGGCGGAUUCUUAACCACUGUGCCACCAGGGAAGUCCUAUGCUCAUUUGAAAUGAUUCAAAUAAUUCAAGAAAGUAUAAAGAAGAAACAAUUUAAAAUUCUCUGAAAUCCACCUUCCCAGAGAGAACUACUGUUAACUUUUAUUGGAACACCCUUCUGGACAUCUUUCUAUAUCCAAAUAGGAUAAAUAAAUGGGCUCUUUUAGUUGUAAAAACAAGGAUCCACUCAAGCUAACUUAUGUAACAAGUAUUUUGCUGUGAGGACUCAGGGGUAUCUCCCAGAAUUGCAGCCAGUCAGGCUUCACGAGACCCGGAAAGAGUGCAGAAAGCCAGGAACUCAGGUUAUUCUCUUUCCUCUGCUUCUCUCUGCCUGCCUGCUCUGGUCUUCGCAGCGUUUUGGUUGACUAAAAAGCACACACCUGCCAUAAGUUCCUUCCCUGACGUUGUAUCUCUGCCCCCAAGUCAAGUAGCUAAUGAGGAUGAGCUGACAUCAUUCUGCCAGAGAUCCCAUUUUCUGGAAGAGGGAAUGGGAUCCAGUGCACUAGUGAUGAGAUGGUUCAUCCUUUAUAACAUGGAGAGGGGACAUAGGUACAGAGGCAGGUAGGCUGUUUGGUGGCAGGAAGAUGAGAUAUUUCCCUAGAUUGCUUCUUUUAUCUCAAGUAAAUGAGUGAGGUUGUCAGCUGAGAAGCUGAGAGUAGAGUGGGGACAGGUAUGGGAGGUUUAUUAAAAGGUGAGAAGAAAUGAAGUAGUUAUCUCUCAAAGCGGAGAUGUGAAUUUAUGAGGAUUAGUGCGGAUGACCCACUUGAGGUUUGUGGUCAUGAAUUUAAAGAGAGAUUAGUGGGUGCAACUGUGUUUCCCUCCAGCCACAUCUGGGUGCUCAGGUGUGAGUGUGAGGUGCAGGGAAUUAGCUUUUACCAUUUUUCAGGACAAUAAGAUGAGGAAGAGAGGGGCAAGGAAUAAAGUGAUGGGCUGUGGAAUCGAAAGGGAUAAUGAAGAAAAUGAGAUGAGCAAAGUGAUGGGCAGUGAAAGUGUUGGGGAGUCUCCCUGGGGUUGAAGAAUUUGAGUCAGGAUACAAGAAUAAGCGAGCUGGAAAGAUUGGAAGGAAUGGCCAAAGAGUGGGAUGCUGGAAGCUAAUUUUAAAUGUAGUGAGUGUUGUUGAUGACAGUCAAGGGCAUGACCAUGGCAGUGGGAGGAGGAGGUUGCAUGGAGGACAAGAUAGUUGGAGAUGAAGGAAUCAGGAAGCUGGAUUAUGAGACUCUCACCUGCCCCCUAGGGAUUCUCACCUGGUGGUAUUCACACCCCUUGUGUAGUCCCUCACACAUUCAAUAGAGCUGACCUGUGUAACUAAUGACUGUGUAUGACUUCCAAGGUUAGGUUGUGAAAGACUUGUGGCUUCUGCUCCCCUCUCUCUUGGGAGAAGCCAGCCACCCAUGGUACCCAUGUGGUGUGGACCAAUCAAUGCUAACUUGCCAGGCAUGUUUGUGGGCCACCUUGGGAGCCAGGUUUCCUGCCCCAGUUAAGCCUUCCAAUGACUGUGGCAGCUCCUGCAGACAGACUGCACAUCCUCAGAGACUCUGAGCCAGAAUCACUGGUCUAAGGUGCUUCUGAAUUCUUGACCCAGAGAAACUGUCUGAGAUAAUAAAUGCUCAUUGUUUGAAGUUUUGUGGUAAUUUUGUUACACAACAAUAGAUAAGUAAUGUGGAACCCGAAAAGCUAAGAUGUUGUAUGGGUCUUUGAUGGAUGUUGGUUGAAGAAUGGUUAGGUUUUAAUGAUGGAGAGAGAGGCUGAGAGCCAGGCCCUAAAUCUUCAAGGAGUGAGGCAGAGUAGUCAGGAGGCUGGGAAAGACUUCAAUAGGAAUAGUGGUGGUAUAGUCUAAGGACACAAACUUCAAGGGAAAAGGGGUUUGUAGAAAAAAGGAAGGAUAAUUAGUCUAGAAAAGGUAAAGAAGAGCAGGGAAGACCCCCACCCUACCUCUGGGCCUGUGUAGGGGAAAAAUCAGCUGCUACAUGAGAGGGUUGCAAGAAAAGCAAUGUCCCCAGGCAGAAGCAGAUUUUAGUGCAAGCAGGAAGGGGAAAUGAAUGUUUGGAGAAGAAGUCCAGGAUUUAGGGCGUUUUGCUAAGGGUGAACCAUGAGUUCCAGGGUCAGAGUGGAAGAAUGGGGGAAGUAGGAAGGGUGGGAAAUUGGAUUAGACUAAGGGAUGUGCAUCAGAGUCUGAGCAAUGAUGGAUGACCAUCAAUAGAUUUUGAAUUUUAUUGCUUUUUCUAUUGAAAAUCUAUCAUAGGGUUAUAUGAUUCUUCUUUAUCCUGUUCAUAUGGUAAGUUUUAAUCAUUAAUUUUCAAAUUUAUACCAACCUUGCAUUCUUGGAAUAACACAAACUUUCAGGAUAUAUUAUCUUUCAUAUAUAUUGUUGAAUUCAUUUUGCUGUUAUUUUGUUUAGGGUUUUUUUGCACCUGUGUUCAUUAGUGAGAUUGACUUAUACCUUUCCUUUCAUUUAUUAUCCUUGUUAGAUUUUAGUAACAAGGUUAUGCUGGCCUCAGAAUUCGAGUUUGGGUAUGUUUCCUCUUUUCUAUUCUCAGAAGUGUAUGUGUAAUUGUGGUAUUUUUCUUUCUUAAAUAUUUAUUAGAAUUUGCCAGUGAAGCCAUCUGGGACUGGAGUUUUCUUUGUUGGAAGAUUUAAAUUGUAAAUUAAAUUUCUUUAAUAUAUAUAAUAUUAUUCAGAUUUUCUAUUCCUUCUUUUGUUGGUUCUUAUAAGUUGUAGUUUUCUAAGAACUUUCUCAACUCCCUUGAAAUUUUAAUUUAUUUGAAGACAUCAAGUUGUAACUUUAUAAUGUCUAUAGGAUCUGUAACAAUGCCCUUUUUCAUUGCUAAUAUUGGUAAUUCAUGCCUUCUUUUUUUUCUUUAUGAAUUUUCCUAGCGGCUUUUACAUUUUACUAAUGUUUUCACAGAAUGGUCUUUUGACUUUGAUCAAUCUUUUAUUGUAAGUUUGUUUUUGUUGCAUUAAUUUCUGCUCUUUAUGGAUUCCUUUAUACUUUAAAAAAUAUAAUUCGUUGAAACUUAGAGUUACCAUAUGACCCAGCACUCCACUUCUAAAUGUACCCAAGAGAAAUGGAAACAUAUGUUCACACAAAAAUUUGUACACGAAUGUUCAUAGCAGCAUUAGUCAUAAUUGCCCCCAAAUGGAAACAACCCAAAUGCCACCAACUGAUAAAUGGCAAAACAAAUGUGGUAUAUCCAUACUGUGUUAGUCUGCUAGGGCUGCCAGACUGGAUGGCUUAAACAACAGAAAUUUAUUGUCCCACAGUUCUGGAAGCUGGAAGUCUAAGAUCAAGGUUUGGCAGUUUUGAUUUCUCCUGAUGCCUCUCUCUUUGUCUUUUAUUUUUAAAUUGUGGCACACAGGCUUAGUUGCUCCGUGGCAUGUGGGAUUUUCCCAGACGUGGGCUCGUACCCAUGUCCCCUGCAUUGGCAGGCGGAUUCUCAACCACUGCGCCACCUGGGAAGCCCUCUCUUUGUUUUGUAGAUGGAUGCUUUCUCCCUGUGUCCUCACAGGGCCUUUUCUCAGUUCAUGUGCAUCCUUGGAGUUUCUUUCUCUUAUAAGGACACCAGUCCUAUUGGAUUAAGGCGCCACCUUUAUGACUUCAUUUAACCUUAAUUACCUCCUUAAAAUCCCUGUGUCCAAAUAAGUUACUUUGAAAGUUAGGGUUUCAAAAUAUGAAUUUGGGAGGAACACAAUUUAGUCCAUAACAAUAUUAUUACAUGUUUGUUAAUUUUUAUUGCUGUAUAGAAAUUCUUUGUGUGAAUAUACUAUGUUUUAUUUAUCUAUACUACUGUUAAUGGGCUUUUUAGUCUCUAAUUUGAGGUUAUUAUGAAUAGAGUUUCUAUGAACAUUCUGUCUUUUGGAUGAACAUUAAAAUCUCUGUUGAAUAUAUACCUAAGAAUUGCUGGGUUCAUUAAGUAUUCUUAUUUUCAGCUUUACUAGAUAUUGCCAACACUUUUCCCAUACAUUUAUUUACGCUCUUACCGGUGCUUACUGAGAGUUGUGUUUGUUCUACAUCUUUGUCAACACUUGAUAUUACCUGGGGUUUUUUUUCCCAUUUUUUUUUAGUCAAUUCUGAAGGUAGUGUGGAAUAUCUGAUGAUUUUAAUCUAUAUUUCUGUCAUGACUAAUGAAGUUGAAUACCUUUUCUGUGUUUAUUGGCUGUUGGAAUGUAAUUUAUUGUGAAGUGCUAUUUUCUUAUUGAUUUGUAGGGAUUUUAAAUAUAUUCUGGCCAUAUGAAUACGUCCUCUGUUAUUGAAAAUAUCUUCUUGCAUACUGUAGUUUGCCAUUUUAUUCUCUUUCAA